rnacentral:misc_RNA from 1 species
GGGGAUGUGUGUUUUGACUUAGAUUAAGGUCGGUAAUUAUGGCAAUAAUCCGGUUUUGAAAAAAAUCAAGACGAAGAAACUAACGAAAUUCCUGUUGGAUUGUUUAAUAGCAGCCCAGGAUACAACUACGCGAGAAUAUAAUUAAUUAAUCGUAUUUCUCAACUAGUUUCUGCCGUUCGCCCAAUUCGUUCGGCUCGAUAUAAAAUUUGGGUCAAUUAUUAAAGUUUGGUUAUUAUACUUGUUAAUUGUCACUCCCUUACUAAAAAUAUCCUACUUACUAAUCGGCAUUCGUUUAUUAGUGCUUAAUAAGGAACAACAAUUAAUAAACUAAGUUGUAGAAGUAAUUGCUAACUGUCUAAGGACAGGGGUUCAAUCCCCUCAUCUCCACC